rnacentral:rRNA from 1 species
GGUUAAGCGACUAAGCGUACACGGUGGAUGCCCUGGCAGUCAGAGGCGAUGAAGGACGUGCUAAUCUGCGAUAAGCGUCGGUAAGGUGAUAUGAACCGUUAUAACCGGCGAUUUCCGAAUGGGGAAACCCAGUGUGUUUCGACACACUAUCAUUAACUGAAUCCAUAGGUUAAUGAGGCGAACCGGGGGAACUGAAACAUCUAAGUACCCCGAGGAAAAGAAAUCAACCGAGAUUCCCCCAGUAGCGGCGAGCGAACGGGGAGCAGCCCAGAGCCUGAAUCAGUAUGUGUGUUAGUGGAAGCGUCUGGAAAGGCGCGCGAUACAGGGUGACAGCCCCGUACACAAAAAUGCACAUGCUGUGAGCUCGAUGAGUAGGGCGGGACACGUGGUAUCCUGUCUGAAUAUGGGGGGACCAUCCUCCAAGGCUAAAUACUCCUGACUGACCGAUAGUGAACCAGUACCGUGAGGGAAAGGCGAAAAGAACCCCGGCGAGGGGAGUGAAAAAGAACCUGAAACCGUGUACGUACAAGCAGUGGGAGCACGCUUAGGCGUGUGACUGCGUACCUUUUGUAUAAUGGGUCAGCGACUUAUAUUCUGUAGCAAGGUUAACCGAAUAGGGGAGCCGAAGGGAAACCGAGUCUUAACUGGGCGUUAAGUUGCAGGGUAUAGACCCGAAACCCGGUGAUCUAGCCAUGGGCAGGUUGAAGGUUGGGUAACACUAACUGGAGGACCGAACCGACUAAUGUUGAAAAAUUAGCGGAUGACUUGUGGCUGGGGGUGAAAGGCCAAUCAAACCGGGAGAUAGCUGGUUCUCCCCGAAAGCUAUUUAGGUAGCGCCUCGUGAAUUCAUCUCCGGGGGUAGAGCACUGUUUCGGCAAGGGGGUCAUCCCGACUUACCAACCCGAUGCAAACUGCGAAUACCGGAGAAUGUUAUCACGGGAGACACACGGCGGGUGCUAACGUCCGUCGUGAAGAGGGAAACAACCCAGACCGCCAGCUAAGGUCCCAAAGUCAUGGUUAAGUGGGAAACGAUGUGGGAAGGCCCAGACAGCCAGGAUGUUGGCUUAGAAGCAGCCAUCAUUUAAAGAAAGCGUAAUAGCUCACUGGUCGAGUCGGCCUGCGCGGAAGAUGUAACGGGGCUAAACCAUGCACCGAAGCUGCGGCAGCGACACUAUGUGUUGUUGGGUAGGGGAGCGUUCUGUAAGCCUGUGAAGGUGUGCUGUGAGGCAUGCUGGAGGUAUCAGAAGUGCGAAUGCUGACAUAAGUAACGAUAAAGCGGGUGAAAAGCCCGCUCGCCGGAAGACCAAGGGUUCCUGUCCAACGUUAAUCGGGGCAGGGUGAGUCGACCCCUAAGGCGAGGCCGAAAGGCGUAGUCGAUGGGAAACAGGUUAAUAUUCCUGUACUUGGUGUUACUGCGAAGGGGGGACGGAGAAGGCUAUGUUGGCCGGGCGACGGUUGUCCCGGUUUAAGCGUGUAGGCUGGUUUUCCAGGCAAAUCCGGAAAAUCAAGGCUGAGGCGUGAUGACGAGGCACUACGGUGCUGAAGCAACAAAUGCCCUGCUUCCAGGAAAAGCCUCUAAGCAUCAGGUAACAUCAAAUCGUACCCCAAACCGACACAGGUGGUCAGGUAGAGAAUACCAAGGCGCUUGAGAGAACUCGGGUGAAGGAACUAGGCAAAAUGGUGCCGUAACUUCGGGAGAAGGCACGCUGAUAUGUAGGUGAAGUCCCUCGCGGAUGGAGCUGAAAUCAGUCGAAGAUACCAGCUGGCUGCAACUGUUUAUUAAAAACACAGCACUGUGCAAACACGAAAGUGGACGUAUACGGUGUGACGCCUGCCCGGUGCCGGAAGGUUAAUUGAUGGGGUUAGCGCAAGCGAAGCUCUUGAUCGAAGCCCCGGUAAACGGCGGCCGUAACUAUAACGGUCCUAAGGUAGCGAAAUUCCUUGUCGGGUAAGUUCCGACCUGCACGAAUGGCGUAAUGAUGGCCAGGCUGUCUCCACCCGAGACUCAGUGAAAUUGAACUCGCUGUGAAGAUGCAGUGUACCCGCGGCAAGACGGAAAGACCCCGUGAACCUUUACUAUAGCUUGACACUGAACAUUGAGCCUUGAUGUGUAGGAUAGGUGGGAGGCUUAGAAGUGUGGACGCCAGUCUGCAUGGAGCCGACCUUGAAAUACCACCCUUUAAUGUUUGAUGUUCUAACGUUGACCCGUAAUCCGGGUUGCGGACAGUGUCUGGUGGGUAGUUUGACUGGGGCGGUCUCCUCCUAAAGAGUAACGGAGGAGCACGAAGGUUGGCUAAUCCUGGUCGGACAUCAGGAGGUUAGUGCAAUGGCAUAAGCCAGCUUGACUGCGAGCGUGACGGCGCGAGCAGGUGCGAAAGCAGGUCAUAGUGAUCCGGUGGUUCUGAAUGGAAGGGCCAUCGCUCAACGGAUAAAAGGUACUCCGGGGAUAACAGGCUGAUACCGCCCAAGAGUUCAUAUCGACGGCGGUGUUUGGCACCUCGAUGUCGGCUCAUCACAUCCUGGGGCUGAAGUAGGUCCCAAGGGUAUGGCUGUUCGCCAUUUAAAGUGGUACGCGAGCUGGGUUUAGAACGUCGUGAGACAGUUCGGUCCCUAUCUGCCGUGGGCGCUGGAGAACUGAGGGGGGCUGCUCCUAGUACGAGAGGACCGGAGUGGACGCAUCACUGGUGUUCGGGUUGUCAUGCCAAUGGCACUGCCCGGUAGCUAAAUGCGGAAGAGAUAAGUGCUGAAAGCAUCUAAGCACGAAACUUGCCCCGAGAUGAGUUCUCCCUGACCCUUUAAGGGUCCUGAAGGAACGUUGAAGACGACGACGUUGAUAGGCCGGGUGUGUAAGCGCAGCGAUGCGUUGAGCUAACCGGUACUAAUGAACCGUGAGGCUUAACCUU